CUGCCUCAUGUCCAGCUUCCCAUCCACCAGUACCCUCAGGUCUUUCUCAGCAGGGCUGCGCUCAAUCCUUUCGUACCCCAGCUUGUAUUGGUGAUGGGGGUUGCUUUGACUCAGGUGCAAGAUUUUGCAUUUGGAUUUGUUGAAUCUCAUGAGGUUCACCUGGGCCCACUGCUCAACUGUCUAGGUCCAUCUGGAUGGCAUCCCAUCCUUCUGGUGUGUUGACCACACCCCACAGCUUUGUGUUAUCAGCAAACUUGCUGAGGGUGCACUCGACCCCACUGUCGAUUUAACUGAUGAAGAUAUUAAAGAGUAUCAGCCCCAACGCCGACCCCUGUAGGACACCACUUGUCACUAGUCUCCAUCCAGACAUUGAGCCACUGACCACCACUCUCUGGACUUGAUCAUAUAUGGAUUGUAUGGAUUGAAAUGGCAUGGUGCUGCCUUUCAAACUUAAUUGCAGUUGUUAACAUAAUGCUCGUACAUGAGCAUAAUGCUCAUAUGUGAUCAAAACUAUUCCUAUUUAGCUGGCAGUCUUUGAAUCACUAGCACUUUGAAUGUAAACAUUUGAAAUCAGGCCGGGGGAGUGAAAAUGCUGGUGGUGGCCCUUCUCCAAGAUCAGCUUUAUGACUGGGAGCUGCCAAAAGAGAUGCUGCUGAAGGAAUGUGAUCGAAUGAAAACCUUGAAGAGCAUUGGGUGCCUUGAGCAUGGCUCUGUUAGGGCUCCAGGUUCAAGGGGUUAGGAAACCUUCACAUAACUUGAUGCAUGUUUGUAUGAAGUGGAGAGUGAGUUUACUGUGAAUGUCCAGAAAUUAUACUGUUGCAUGUUUGCAUCUAAAUACUGGCUCCAUCUACAUAACCUCUUUAGUUGAUUCUUUUCAUAGGGAAAUCAUUUAUUUAUACAAAUACAGAAUCCUAUUGUGUGUGUCUCAGCAUGUGAUGCCAGGGUGGCAGUAACUAGUCUAAUCACACCCACCAGUAAGAAGGAAAUUGUAAUUAACUGCAAAACAUAGCAGCAAUAUGAAACCGGACAAAUUAGAAGACUGGAGGUACUCCAGCUGCUAGAAAGCUGUAUUUCCAUCUCUAAGAAUGAUAGAUUAUUUUUUGAUCUCUAACGAGAUGUUAUCAGUAUAGGAAAAGUGAAAACAUAGGUUAUUAGGGAAAAGAUGUGAGAAGUGAGUGAUUUGCAAGGACUAAUACCUGAACACUAGAGAAGCUAUAAAGGCUUGAUGAGUUCAGUCCCAUAAAUUCAUGCAUAGAGAGAGCAUUUCGUGCACAAAGCCAAGAGAUGCAGAGACGUGUCUUGAAGGAGCUGAGGUUUCCAGGGAAUCAAAACCGAAAUUGCUCAACAUCUAAAGCUGAGCAAGGGCAUAGCAUGGGCUGAAGGAAUGUGUCAGGUAGAAACAUACCAGGAACAUCAUGGUACAGUACAUACGUUGUUGAAUGCAUGAAGGAUUGAAGGAAAAUCGUUUAGUAUUUUGCAACCAGGGCAAAAAGAAUAAAUGAAAAACACUUUCUUCAUGUUGCAGUGGCACAGUAUUGAUACACUUCUGACAGCUAUAUAUUACUGCCUAGCAGUGACCCAUACGGUGGAUGAUACCUCUAGGCACACUGUAAAUACGCAAUUGGAUCACAGCUGAGGAAGUUACUGCUGAGUAAAUUCAAUUAUGGAGGAUGCUAAUAAGAGAGCCAAGGACUACGCUGUAGACACAGUGGUUGCUCAAGAAUAUCACCACUAGAAGGUACAAACAGCAAGAAAAACUUUCAAAAUAGAUUCACCAGUAUGCUAAUACCUUCACUUGUGAUAUUUCAAACAAACCAACAAAGCAUGAACAAAGCAGAGUGCAAUAAGCCAUAAAAAUGCUUCUAAGAAUGGACAGCUUUCAACAAGCAGAUGCUAGAGGAGGCUGUCGUGAGUGAUGACUAAUGUGGGCAAGAAGUGAUUUUGUUCAGAGUGAUCAAUGAAUAUGUUAUGGCAAAUUUAAGAGCUGACAUCAGCUGUCAUGGAUAAAGUUGAUCUCUCAUGUCUGUGAAGAUGCAGAGACCUCUACUGACUGUAUGGAUACUCACUUGACAUGGAACAGUGUAAAGCAUGCUAAUAUUACCAUGAUCUUCAACAGAGGAAUAAUAUACAAUUCUCUGAUAGAAAUCCCAGUAUUAUCCUUAGGAAGGUCAAAACAGAGGUGUGAGCUACUUGUUCCUAUCAACUGACCAGUGUUGAGAUUGUUGGGAAAAGAUACAGGAGAAAGAAUGUAAAAUGGUACAAUUAGGAUAACAACUGAAUAGAAAAAAAAUCCUUUCUACAAACAAGUUUCAAGAUCCAUACGAUUGAAAACGGCGCAAUAAAGUGAGUGCAACUUCCAUUGCAGCAUCUUUAAAAGUAAUUUUCCUAAUGAAGAGAUAAUAGAUAUGGAGUCUUUGCACAUGGUUACUCAGCAGAUAAUGCUUGAAAAGAUUCCCAUAAUCUCUUCAU
ensembl:lncRNA